rnacentral:lncRNA from 1 species
AAAAUAACAAAGCUCAAGGCCCAUAAGAGAGGACUCAAUUCAAGUAGAUUUCAGCCAGCCCGUUUAGAAGAAAAUAAAUUGGAAUGAAGGGAGCAAAUCAGUGGAAGACUCUCGGCUGUGAAGAAAUCCCGAAUUGGAAGCACAUUUGCACUGUCUUUAGUAUUUUCACCAUAUCUCCCUUAUCCAGUGUCGUAUUGAGCUGAUUCAAGAGGCCUUGGAAAGCUAAUUUAAUGUGCUACAAUUUCUCCUGAAGUAGAGAUUUUGAAAUUCCCACGUUUUCCAAGUGAAAAAUGGCCCAAAAUCCAAGGCUGAAAAUCUGCUGAAUUGACAAGGCAAAUUCGGGAUUGAUUUUUCCUUUCCUUGUAAAGAUGGCUUGAAAGAGAGCAAGGAUAAAGAGUUUAUGGAGGAGGAAAAAGCAGAUUUUUCGACCAAGGAGGCUGGAAAGCAAGGAUUAUCUACUCUUUUUCUUCUUUUUGUCUAUCAAGAGGAGGAAGCUAUUGGAAGAAAAUUUCAAACCAGAUUUAUUGAGUUUUUUUUUUUUUCCUUCUUCCAAUCUCUUUCUGUUCCUUGAUGAUUUUUAAAUUUUUUUUUAAAGUUUUUCUUCAAUUUUAGCAUGAAUUAAUUUCUAUCUUCUAGAGUUUGAGAUGUAGCCUAAUUAUGAUUAUGUGAAUCUUCCUUGAAUUAAUUGGUAUUGUUCCGAUUAUUGAGUAUUUUAUUCUGGACUUAAUGCUUGUGAAUUACUGAUCACCAUUCACUAAAGUUGGCAUUCAAUUUGAGACAAAGAAAUAAUAAUUGUUUCAGCCUAUGUAUGAGAUACCACAAGGAUUCUGUAGGAUAGAGAUAUCUAUGGACUAGUGUAAUCUUUAUGGGUUUUAUCUUUGUUCUUAAUGAAUGUUGACAGGUUUAGAAUUUUCACAGAAAUGUAGAAAAUUUUCUUGUUGAGAU